rnacentral:SRP_RNA from 1 species
GCCAGGCGUGGUGUUGCAUGCCUGUAAUCCCAGCUACUUGGGAGGCUGAGGCAGGAGAAUCGCUUGAACCCAGGAGAUGGAGGUUGCAGAGCUGAGAUUGUGCCACUGCACUCCAGCCUGGGUGACAAAGCAAGACUCCGUCUCUA